UACGAAGGGUGCAAACGUUGCUCGGAAUUAUUGGGCGUAAAGCGCACGUAGGCAGCAUUGCAAGUCGGGAUGUGAAAUCCCUCGGCUUAACCAAGGAAGUGCAUCCGAAACUGCAGUGCUUGAGUACUUAAGAGGAUCGCGGAAUUCCCGGUGUAGAGGUGAAAUUCGUAGAUAUCGGGAGGAACACCAGUGGCGAAGGCGGCGUCUGGGAAGAUACUGACGCUGAGGUGCGAAAGCGUGGGGAGCAAACAGG
rnacentral:rRNA from 1 species